GAUACCCGAAAAUGACUGCUGGGUUUAGGGUUGGAUUGUUGAUGACGCGAACAUCUCCACCCCCGGGAGCCCAGGUGUCAUACAGACCACCAAAGAACAUGGCCUUCAGGACCAGCAGGAAAGCACCACAGCCCAGCAUAAUCAGAUGAAAACCGAUGAUGUUGGUCAUCUUGUUCUUGUCUUUCCA
rnacentral:antisense_RNA from 1 species